UUUCCUUUUAAAGUACAUGCUAAAUUAAGAACAUUUUUGAGCUGAAGAGUUUUGAUUGUAUAUUUGCAUCAAUAGGAGUCUAAGGGUUAAUGAUUUCUUUGACAGGAUAGUGUGGGGAACAAAACACGGGCAAAUAAGUAUGAGUUUUUUUAUCCUAUUGCUGUCUUAGACAAGAUAAUAAAUCUGCCAAACUGUUAAGUCGGUCAGUAUUUAAAAAAUCUUUGUUUUUACUUUUUUUGUUUUUGCUAUCAUACUAAUUUAAAUAUUACAGUAACUGAAAGCUUUAAUACUUUGACAGAUCAGCCGAGUUGUCCUGCAAUACCAGUUCAAGUGGAGAUACUGAAGUGGACUCAGAUGACACAAUAAUAUUACAACACAGUCCUACAACAAGACGAAGAGUUGAAGACGCCUCUCUGGCCAAAGUGGUUGCUGUCAUUGGUGAGGAUGCAUCAUCCGUUGAAGGUCAUGUGAAUGUCCUGCAUAUCCAGUACAGCAAGGUGAGAGAGGAUAUACCAAAGAAGUACCCUUUCUUGAAGACAACCUCAGGGUUGUUUGAUGUUGACCGAAUGCAUCCAUCACCUGUCA